AACCUAGCACACCUGCGGUGUGUACCUGCGGAAGGAUCAUUACAGAGUUCGUGCCCUCGCGGGUAGAUCUCCCACCCUUGUGUAUUUUCUACAUCUUGUUGCUUUGGCAGGCCGUUGGUUCGCCAACCACCGGCUCGCGGGCUGGUGCGUGCCUGCCAGAGGACCUCUCAAACUCGGUUUGUUAGUGUCGUCUGAGUACCAUAACAAUCGUUAAAACUUUCAACAACGGAUCUCAGAUCG
rnacentral:misc_RNA from 1 species